rnacentral:snoRNA from 1 species
AUGACGACGCUUACAAGGUCAGAUGGGUGAAGAAGGCUGAGCGGCUGA